ACUCAAACCACAUCCGACUCAGAAGGCUGAAGCAGAUUGGUGUGUUUUCAUGUGUUUUACUUUAGUUACCAUCAAUAACAAUCUUGAGAGGAAACUGAGCAUGCAGACUCUUGAGGUUUGGCCCUAACAGAACUUUAUUCCACCAGCCGCUGCCAAACUGACCCUCCGCGAGGAAACAGAAGAAUGGGUGUAUGUGCAAGCCAAAAACAUAUGACUCAUCUUUGUGCCGUUUGAUGCAGCUUCCAGCGGGGCUGUUUCCGUGUAAAACAGGCUGGUUUUUGUUAUGUAAUAAUUAACUGCUUAACUACACGGAGACAUGAGAGCUAAAAAAUCUGCCCGCGUCUGUUCUUUAUAAAACAAGGCCUUGUUCUGACUAGACUUUCCACUAUUUUGUGGACAGCACUAUUACCAUUAUGCCAUUAAGGAGUUGAAUGUUGACAUGGAAAAUGUACCAUGGCUUCCACCUGUUGGCAGGACUAUCAUGAUCAUAAACCUUUAGUUGGUGGUUAAUUGGCAAAUUUUUGCCUGUAAAGAAAAACUAUGCACUACAGCAACGACAAGUAUAAGAAUUUAAAGGGCAAUUUCACCCAAAAGGGAAAAUUCAGUAAUUAUCUGCGCACUCUCAUACCUAAGAAAAUGCCAAUGUUUUGCAGUGCACAUAAUAUUUCUGGAGUUUUACGGCGAAACAGUGAUGCAGCGUUUUCCUAAACUGAAGUAGAUGGUGGCUUCUUUUAUAGCGUAAAAAAAAGCGUAGAAAAUGGCUCCAUGCUAUCCACGCCUCUGGAAUCCCUGUGUUCCUAACUUGAUUUGAAAAGAUGCACAUUGAAAUCUUUACUGUAGCUGCAAGGCUAAAAGCUUAAGUGUGCACCCCGUCUGAAGUGGGUGCAUGAGCUCGACCUUGUGUCAAGCGUGUAUAUGUUGUCUUUUGAAAUCAAUUUCUCAGGGCUUCUGGACACUUGGAUUCAGCCGGAUGAACUGUGUGGAGUCAUUUUAUGGUUGUUGGGGUAUUUUUUUUUUUUUUGUUAUUUUUUAAAGGUUUGCAGUGACUCCAGUUGUUCAGGAGAAUGCUGCAACACUGUUUCAAUAUGAAGCUCCAGAAAUGUUUUGUGGACUAGAAAAUCUCAUCCAACUUUCUGCCAGCAUGAGGAAAGUUGCUGACAUCAAUAAGAAUGGAACCUCAUCUGCAAUUGAGCGUUCGCCUACCUGAUGAGGCUCGUGACCGAGUUGGCGUACAGGACGGCACAAAGCAAGAUGUGACCUUUUUUAUUUUUUUUCAUCAUUGGGAAAUCAAGACUUCCACUUCCUCGUACUCCUGUUUCUAUAACUUACAAAAUGCUGCCUGACAUGUUUUUAUGUCAGCUCUCUUACAAGCAAAAGACCUGAACUCAAGAACUUGGA